rnacentral:misc_RNA from 1 species
CAGAGUUGCAAGACUCCCUAAACCAUUGUGAACCUACCUUCUACCGUUGCUUCGGCGGGCGGGCCCAGCGCCCCCCCGGCCCCCCCGCGGGCGCCCGCCGGAGGAUACCCAAACUCUUUGACAUUAGUGGCCUCUCUGAGUAUUCUUUACUGAAAUAAGUCA